UGAGGAACCAAAGGUCUCAGCUGAGUAGCAGCCUCCUGUCCACCUCUUUGGGUGGGAGAUAAGCCUGGCUUUUGGUGAGAUACACUUCUCCUGCCGUUGGCCAGACCAGGUCCCCAUGCUUCUGUGGCUGCUGCUGCUGAUCCUGGACACAGGUAGGAAGACAUGGGAAGUGAGCGGAGCUGGAUUCCCAGGACAAUCAAAAGCCUCCAAAUAUAACCGUCAGACCAAGAAAGGUAUGUUGCCCUUGGUUUCUCACCCAUUGCUUUCUUUAUCUUGUAAGAAACUUGGAUUUUUCUUUCUGCCAAAU